UCAACAAUGUGAAGCUAUAGCUACACUGGUAAAAAAUGUGGAGGGAAGUUUUUAGGAAUGUUCUCCCAAUGUUAGAUCUUGAAUUAUUUGGGAACAUCCCUGGAAGGGUGACUUUGUGCGGUGUAACAAUUCACUGCCACAUGGCAAUAUUUUUUGUUUUCCUCAUCUGUUUGAGCAGGGGGCGACUCCUUGCCUGCUGAAAAGAAGCCAAAGAUGUAUUCUGUAAAUUGAAGUCCAGAGAACCCCGUGCUCUGCUUUUUGUCCAGAUGGAGAGCCUGAGAACAUUUUGGAUCACAAGAUGCCUUCAGGAGAAACCCCUUUUCUUCCAGCUUCCAGGCAUAAUCUGUUACAGUACUGGAAGAGCACAGGAUUGACAGUCACCACAUUCCCUCCUAUACAAAGACAAACUCUAUGUACAGACACCGGCAUAUCAACUGGAAAAUGCAUUUGGCUUUGGAAUUCAGACACAUGGGAAGAAGCCACCAACUUGCCCUGCACUCGCUUGUCCGCACAUGAGGAAAUUUUAAAAACGACAUCCAUCUGAGCACGCACAACUCCUUCCGUUCAGCAGUUUGAUUCCUGCCAAUAAAUACUCAGCCCUGAAAAUGAUCCCAGCGGCCUUGUAGCAUCAAGGGAACACAUGCAUCAGCUUCUGAUAGCACAUAUAUCCUGCCUUCCAGAAGCCUGAAGAAAAAAGAAGCCUUGCUGUCCCAACGUUAAAUUCUCUAUACCCUAGAAGCAGUGAAGUUCAGAA